rnacentral:rRNA from 1 species
UACGAGAGGUGCAAGCGUUAUUCGGAUUAAUUGGGUGUAAAGGGCGCGUAGACGGUAUGUUAAGUUUGUUGUUAAAUCCUCCGGCUCAACUGGAGAUAUGCAGCAAAUACUGGCGUGCUAGAGGAUGGAAGAGAGAAGUGGAAUUCUCGGAGUAGCGGUAAAAUGCGUAGAUCUCGAGAGGAACACCGAUGGCGAAGGCAGCUUCUUGGUCCAUUCCUGACGUUGAGGCGCGAAAGCGUUGGGAGCAAACAGG